AAUAUGUGCGAUAGUACAUUCUAAGUAUAUAAAUAGAAGGUUUAUAGCACCUUCUUAGAACCUUCUAAAAAGUAUGUUCUUGGUAUACAAGUGCGGUAGUACAUUCUAAGUAUAUACAUAGAACGUUUAAGUACUGUAAUGUAUAUACUCAGUAUCUGCUCUGCACAUUCGCAAUGGUAAUUACGCAUAUUCUCAGUAUAUACUUUUCUGAAAAGUGUGUUCUAUGAAUCUACUAAGAACAUGAAAUUGUUAUGUGGGAAGAAACAAGUAACUUGAAAGUUUAUUUGAGAAUACACACUGAAGAAAAACCAUACAAGUGUGAAAUUUGUUUAACACAGUUUAAUAUCGAUGGCUUAGUGUGAAAACCUCGUAUCUCAUUUUUUUUUUUCGAAAAUUACAUUUUGGUUUUAGUUUGAAAACCGUGUACCUCACGAUUUACAACUGUUAGAAAAAUUCCAUAUACACUAGACUAUUUUCUACAGCCGAAAAAAGAAACCACGUAUAUCAAUUGCUCUCUUGAUUUAGUGUGAAUACCACGUAUAUUUAUAACCAAGAAUUUGGUACUUAAUUUGGAGUGUUUGUUUGAGAGAUUCGACUUGCAGAAUUGUUUUUUGAACAGCAAAAGGUAGUCCGGCAUAUAGGAACAUUUUAUGAACCUUAAAUCAAAAGAUUUGUAUUGUAUCGACCUAGUAUUUGGAGGUGUGCAAUAAGCUAUGAAAAACGAAAACCUCGUAAAUAAUAAUAAACACAACCUCAUUUGAGAUGAAAAACAUGUAUAUCAAGAUAUACGAGAUUAUCAUAGUUACUUGGGCAAAGGCUCUAUAUACUGCAAGGAUAUUUACAUGUUUUUCAUAGUUAAUAUUUGUAUUUCCAAUUUAAUAGCAACAUUUAACACUUUUAGCUCUGUGCCAGUAUCAGAUAUUUGUCUCAAUGUGCUCGAAUUAAAAAUACGUAACAUAAUUUUUGUUUUUAGGUUAUAUUAUGCAGAAAAUCAGUUUUUUGCCUCUCCUGUAAAAUUGUAAUGAGAUACGAGGUUUUCACACUAAGCCAUCGAUAUUGCAAGUAAUUUGAAACAACAUACCCUAACAACACACAACAUUCCAGGAAUGUACUACCAAAGUUCUAUCAAUAUUUGAAUGUCCUGGACAUUUAGGGAACAUUCGGUGAACAUCUGCUUAAAUUAUUCCUGGAAUGUUACCAUAAGACAUUCUGUGAACAUACUACCAAUGUUCCUAUAUUUUAAGUUGCGAAAUAAUACAUACGUGUAAGAGAUACAACAUUACUUAUAACAUACCAGACAAACUAAGUGACAUUUUAGGCCUACAGUGCAAUAAUAUGUCAAAUUUAAAGAGUUUCCCAAGAUUAUAAACAUACAAAUGUAAUAAAAAUUAUUGUUCGCGAAUAUUCAAUUUGGAAUGCGAUUUUGUUAAUAAAAAAAUACUUAUAACUUAUGCAAAACCCAAGAGAGGCAUUUAUAUUUAUUUCUUUUGCGUUCAUUUUCAAAUUCGCCGUGCAUAUAUUUUUGUGCAUGGCGCUUGAGAGGGCAUCACGUGACUAAAAACGACCAACCAACGACCUCGCUUCGGCCAUCUUGGCAUCUUCAUCUUGGCGACCUUGCCUUGCCGUGGAUUGUUUUUAGUUGUUUGUAUUAUUUGUGCUUUUUAAGAAUAUUUUUUUAAUUCGGAUACUUUUAUAAUAGCUUUAAUAGUAUUAUUAACAUAGUGCAUAAAAUGGUGUCCUGUUUUUAACGCAGUUGGAGUAGCAGAAACAAAUGUAGAUAAAAAAAUCUGCAGGAAUAACGUUUCAAUUAUGACAGAAGCUCAAAACAAAUGACUGUGAAUGAAAAGCCCUAUUAAAAGCUUUCCAGAAGAUCCUGCGAAGAAGACAUGAAGUAUAGAUCAGAUUUGUUAAUAGAGGAGUAUGUUCAAAACACUUUUUAGAAAAAGAUAUUGACAGAACUUCACUUUCAUCUGUUCGUUUGAGAGACUGUGCUGUUCCAAUAGCUUAUGUCACACAGAAUCAGCUGAGAGAAGUGGUCUACAAAAAACCAGAAAGGAAACGGAAUAUGUGGCUACGAAAAGCAAAAGAAAGGUUUACAAAGCAAAUGUGACACAUUUUUUUAUAAUAUUUAGGAAUGUCAGCAAAUUACAUUAAAAAAUGUAUGUAAAGAUUUUUUGCAAUAAAAAUGUUUAUAUUUAUCAAGGAUGUAUUAUUUGGUAUGGCCAUAUAUCGUCAGUGAUGUGACAGUACCUCCUAUCUGUUUUUUUCAAGAGAUUUGUAAGAUAGACUAAAAACUUGUUUCGGCCACCUCCUGUUUUCAUAUAUUUUUUGACUUGUUUUGCAGUAAAUUCAACUAUCUAUUUACUACAAAAAAAGUCAGAAUACGUACGAAACCAGAAAGUGACCUUAAAAAAUGUUUUUCGUCUCCUGCAAACCUCAUGAAAAAACAU